rnacentral:rRNA from 1 species
AAUUUACUUACACAUUUUACGCCCGGGUAUUACGAGCAAUGCUUAAACCCAAAGGACUUGACGGUGUCCCAUCCGUCUAGAGGAGCCUGUUCUAUAAUCGAUAACCCCCGCUUUACCUAACCAUUCUUUGCCCAUCAGUCUGUAUACCUCCGUCGGAAGCUUACCAUAUGAACGCUUAUAGUAAGCCCAAUGGCCUCUCGCCAGCACGUCAGGUCAAGGUGCAACUUAUAGAAUGGGAAGAAAUGGGCUACAAUUUCUAAAAUAGAAUAAACGAAAGACUGCUUGAAACCACAGUCAUGAAGGAGGAUCUAGUAGUAAAAAGGGAGUAGAGAGCCCCUUUUAACCCGGCACUGGGACGCGUACACACCGCCCGUCACCCUCUUCAACAGUUACUUUUCUCGAUUAUUAACAAAUUACCCACGUCUUAGAAGAGGCAAGUCGUAACACGGUAGGGGUACUGGAAAGUGCCCCUGGCAUACACCAAAAUGUAGCUUAACAAAAGCCCCUCGCUUACACCGAGGUAAUAUCUGUUAAACCCGGAUCAUUUUGAGCCUAAAAUCUAGCCCUCCCCCUUACUUCAUGCCUCUUAAUCUUACUGCCCAAAAACAAAUCAUUUUAACUUUCCAGUACAGGCGAUCGAAAAAUAUCUAUGGCGCUUCAGACACAGUACCGCAAGGGAAUGAUGAAAUAAUUAUGAAACAAUUUCAAAGCUAAACAUAGCAGAGAUUUAACCUC